rnacentral:rRNA from 1 species
AGCGAACGCUGGCGGCAGGCCUAACACAUGCAAGUCGAACGAACCCUUCGGGUUAGUGGCGGACGGGUGAGUAACACGUGGGAACGUGCCUUUAGGUUCGGAAUAACUCAGGGAAACUUGUGCUAAUACCGAAUGUGCCCUUCGGGGGAAAGAUUUAUCGCCUUUAGAGCGGCCCGCGUCUGAUUAGCUAGUUGGUGAGGUAAUGGCUCACCAAGGCUACGAUCGGUAGCUGGUCUGAGAGGAUGACCAGCCACAUUGGGACUGAGACACGGCCCAAACUCCUACGGGAGGCAGCAGUGGGGAAUCUUGCGCAAUGGGCGAAAGCCUGACGCAGCCAUGCCGCGUGGAUGAUGAAGGUCUUAGGAUUGUAAAAUCCUUUCACCGGUGAAGAUAAUGACUGUAGCCGGAGAAGAAGCCCCGGCUAACUUCGUGCCAGCCGCCGCCGUAAGAC